rnacentral:rRNA from 1 species
UACAGAGGUCUCAAGCGUUUGUUCGGAUUCAUUGGGCGUAAAGGGUGCGUAGGCGGCGCGGUAAGUCGGGUGUGAAAUCUCGGAGCUUAACUCCGAAACUGCAUUCGAUACUGCCGUGCUUGAGGACUGGAGAGGAGACUGGAAUUUACGGUGUAGCGGUGAAAUGCGUAGAUAAUCGUAAGGAAGACCAGUGGCGAAGGCGGGUCUCUGGACAGUUCCUGACGCUGAGGCACGAAGGCCAGGGGAGCAAACGGGAUU